AAGUAAGAAGCAAAAAUUGCAAUCAGUUUCGACCUGAUCCUUGAUGAGUCAGUCAUCCUUGCUUU
rnacentral:tRNA from 1 species